AGUAAAUAGAUACCCCGGUAGUCCACGCUGUAAACGAUGAGUGCUGGACGUUGGCGGGUUUACCUGCCGGUGUCGCAGCUAAACGCGUUAAGCACUCCGCCUGGGGAGUACGGCCGCAAGGUUAAAACUCAAAGGAAUUGACGGGGGCCCGCACAAGCGGUGGAGCAUGUGGUUUAAUUCGACGCAACGCGCAGAACCUUACCAGCCCUUGACAUGGGCGGACGGGGUCCAGAGAUGGACUCUUUCUCGCAAGAGACCGCUACACAGGUGCUGCAUGGCUGUCGUCAGCUCGUGUCGUGAGA
rnacentral:rRNA from 1 species